rnacentral:rRNA from 1 species
GUGAGGAAUAUUGCGCAAUGGAGGCAACUCUGACGCAGCCAUGCCGCGUGCAGGAAGAAGGCGCUACGCGUUGUAAACUGCUUUUAACCGGGAAGAAACCCCAGGACGUGUCCUGGGUUGACGGUACCGGAGGAAUAAGCACCGGCUAACUUCGUGCCAGCAGCCGCGGUAAUACGAAGGGUGCAAGCGUUAUCCGGAUUCAUUGGGUUUAAAGGGUGCGUAGGCGGAGAGUUAAGUCAGUGGUGAAAUCCUGCAGCUUAACUGUAGACUUGCCAUUGAUACUGGCGCUCUUGAGUGCGCUUGAAGUGGGCGGAAUGUGCCGUGUAGCGGUGAAAUGCUUAGAUAUGGCACAGAACACCAAUUGCGAAGGCAGCUCACUAAGGCGAUACUGACGCUGAGGCACGAAAGCGUGGGGAUCGAACAGGAUUAGAUACCCGGGUAGUCC